AUUGAACGCUGGCGGCAGGCCUAACACAUGCAAGUCGAACGGUAACAGGAAGAAGCUUGCUUCUUUGCUGACGAGUGGCGGACGGGUGAGUAAUGUCUGGGAAACUGCCUGAUGGAGGGGGAUAACUACUGGAAACGGUAGCUAAUACCGCAUAACGUCGCAAGACCAAAGAGGGGGACCUUCGGGCCUCUUGCCAUCGGAUGUGCCCAGAUGGGAUUAGCUAGUAGGUGGGGUAACGGCUCACCUAGGCGACGAUCCCUAGCUGGUCUGAGAGGAUGACCAGCCACACUGUAACUGAGACACGGUCCAGACUCCUACGGGAGGCAGCAGUGGGGAAUAUUGCACAAUGGGCGCGAGCCUGAUGCAGCCAUGCCGCGUGUAUGAAGAAGGCCUUCGGGUUGUAAAGUACUUUCAGCGGGGAGGAAGUGAGUAAAGUUAAUACCUUUGCUCAUUGACGUUACCCGCAGAAGAAGCACCGGCUAACUCCGUG
rnacentral:rRNA from 1 species